rnacentral:lncRNA from 1 species
AGAAAAUUAUACAUAAUAGCAAAUUCUACAAUACUGGAUUAUUUAGAGUUGUUGUUUUUUUUUUUUAACAGUAACCACCCCCCACCAAAAAAAAAAGAGCAAACCCCAAUACCUACAUUGUCCUUUUAAUGCUCAUCUAUGAAUAAACCCUACUUCAGACAUGGAAACAGCCUCCAGACAAGUGAACAUGAUUUGGUCAAGUUUUUUUCUCAGAUCUCAGGACCACAGAACUGGAUUAAUCCUAAUCUUUGGUUAUGACACACUCUCCUCAUUGGUUCCUCUCUCCCUCCUCCCAUGUCUCCCUCCUUCCUGCAUCCCUCCCUCCUUCCAUCCCUCCUCACCCUGCCUCCUUCCAAACUGCUCCCUCUCCUAAAGAAUCUUACAAUAUCCACACCUUAUUCAGAGUGGAACAGAACUUGAGGAUUCUCCUGCCCUCCCCUCCUUCUCCUUCCAGGCAAUGGUCUUGAGUUAUUGGGCUGAGUCUGAAAUGUAUCUAAUAAACACUGAAAGUGACAGACGGGCCACAUCUGGAAGAAGACACUGCUGUUUCUUCUGGUUUCUCCCAUAAUUCUAAGUGCAUCCCCAAAGCUCAAAGGAAGGGCGUGGUUUUGACUCAAACUUUGCCCUGUUUGCCAACCUCAGGGAGUCUGGGUUGAGUUAGGGGGAAUGUAACAAAACCUGACGAUGAACAAGCCUAAUGCAGUUUGGAGUUCUAUUAUGAAACUUCUGUGUAGUUCUGCUUUUCACCCAGUUGUGUCAUAAGAAAACAACCAAAGCAUUCAUUUCAGUUUUUGUUAGCCAUCUUUUAGAAUAAUACAAAUACAUACUUGGUAUUUAACUAUUCUGUAACUAUCAAAUUAUCAUAUGAUGUUGAAAAUAUAUUAUGUACAGACUCACAAGUCAGUUUUAACCUCUUCUUUUACUUUCCUUUGUUGUUAGUACAAUCAUAUGUGUGUGCAAAUAUAUAUAUAUAUAUACACACACUAUGUAUAAUACCACAGAUC